GGCACUGUAGCUCAGUUGGUAGAGCACACGUUAACAUCCUUCCAUGGUUUGCAUGUUGUUGUCGGUUCGAGCCCGGCCGGAGUCA
rnacentral:tRNA from 1 species